rnacentral:lncRNA from 10 species
AUUCUGGCUCCUAAGAGCUGGACCUGCUCACCCUGCCCUCUCCUCCUAGGGGCCAGGAGACCAUCUCUUAGUAAGUGAAAGGGAUGCAGUGGUCCUGGGGGAUGGCGGCAGUGGGAUGGACCGCUGAUGUUACCUCCACUGUCAUAAGCAAGGAAACUAAGCUCUGAGGAACCACCCAGCUACUGAGAGGUGGAGCCAGGAUUUGAACCAUUCAGGUGAGCCCAGGGCCUCGGACUGGCUCCCAUGGCUGUGAGCCUCACAUUUCCCUGUGCGGAGACCCUCCUGCAGUGGGUUCCUCCCCUACUCACCAGGGCUGACCCCUACCUCCCAGGGGAGCCCUGGGCAAGUCCCAGCCUGUCUCCUUCCCGACCUGGGUCUGUCCAUCUGGGCAGUGGGGGUACAACCCCAGCGAGGCGGUGGAGGAGUCAGGGCCACUAUUUAUAGAGGCCUGCUGCCUCUGCCGACUGCCUGCCGCCCUGGAGGAGUGCGCGGGAAUGGGAGGAGGGAAGCUGUUGUUGGCGGGGUAGGUUACGUUCCGGAAGGCUGGUGCCAACUCUCCCGGUUGGCAAGCGGGGGAGGGCGCUGGGAACCGAGCAAAGGGGAGUGGAUGGCACCCGCCAAUGGGCGGUCCCAACAGGGUAGGCGGGGCCCUGGCGGGGGCUGCAGACCAGAUCUCACGUGCCUCUGCUGAGGCCCCAGCCCAGGACCCCGAAAUCCAAACUUCUCUGAGACAGGGAAGCAUUUAGGUAGGUUUGACACAAGCUCACUCAGCCGCGUAAACUGACUGGACCCAACCCGAGGGUAUUCAGCAUCCAUUUAUCCCUCCCGGUGGGCAUACCAAUAAGGCUCGUGGCAGAAGUAUCAGUGUGUGUGGUGGAGGUGCUUCCCAGACCCCAUGGGGUGUAUGUGACCUCCGCUAGGUGCAUCUCACUGUCUUUCUAAAAUCUGAGCCAGACCCUGAAAUGCACACAGCCUCAAAAGUUUCUACAAGCCACUGUGAACCUGAUUGUCUCCUGCAUUUUACAGACGAGAAACCUGAGACUUGGAGAAGGGACCAGCGGGUGGCCGGGACCUGCCCUGGGGGCUGAGACGAGGACUCCUUGGGAUCGGAAUUCCAGCCCUUGCUGGUGGGGCCCAGUUUGAGGUUGUCCCAAGAGCUAUGGAGUCUCUCACUAAGGAAGUACCUUCCCUGUCUCUGCUACCCCCUAAAAUCGGCCUGUUCUGUCCUGAGCGGUCUUCCUGGAGGCCUCCCAGGGGAGCUCAGCCCCCACUGGCAGCCCUGGCUCUGCCUAGUUCUGAACCCCUACCGGCUGUUGUUCACUGUCUGGGGCACAGACCCUCUCUGCCUCCAGCCCCAUGGGUGCUGAUCCAGGAGGGGCUACCUCCUCCAACUCUGUCACUGCUCCUCCAGGGUACCAGCUGAGGCCAGGUCCUCAGGUGCUUUGGAGGUGGGAGUGAGAACUAGGCUCAAAGUCUAAGCCCCGGGCUCAGGUCCCAGCAUGGCCCCUGACCAAGGCCAGGGUUUCGUGGCUCAGAGCCUCAGCUGGCUCACUUGGAGUCAAGAGCAUUGGACUCUGUCCUGACCAACUCGUGGGGCCAUAUGGGGGGUCAAGUGUGAGGCCUGGGUCAGGGCUCAGCCUGUGACCAGGGUCAGAGUUCACUGUGUGACCAGGAUCAGGGCUCAGGCUGUGACUAGAACCAAGGAUCAGUGUGUGACCAGGGUAGGGGACCAGUGUGUGGCCAGGAUCAGGGCUCAGUGUGUGAGCGGGAUCAGGGCUCAGUGCAUAAGCGGGAUCAGGGCUCAGUGUGCGAGCGAGAUCAGGGCUCAUCCUCUGGCUGGAGUCAGCAGUCAGGGUACUCAACCCGAUGCAGGUUACCCCCCAUCUACUCUGGC